rnacentral:rRNA from 2 species
GGAUGACCUCGGAUCAGGUAGG